AGUGAACGCUGGCGGUAGGCCUAACACAUGCAAGUCGAACGGCAGCACAGUAAGAGCUUGCUCUUACGGGUGGCGAGUGGCGGACGGGUGAGGAAUACAUCGGAAUCUACUUUUUCGUGGGGGAUAACGUAGGGAAACUUACGCUAAUACCGCAUACGACCUACGGGUGAAAGCAGGGGAUCUUCGGACCUUGCGCGAUUGAAUGAGCCGAUGUCGGAUUAGCUAGUUGGCGGGGUAAAGGCCCACCAAGGCGACGAUCCGUAGCUGGUCUGAGAGGAUGAUCAGCCACACUGGAACUGAGACACGGUCCAGACUCCUACGGGAGGCAGCAGUGGGGAAUAUUGGACAAUGGCGCAAGCCUGAUCCAGCCAUACCGCGUGGGUGAAGAAGGCCUUCGAGUUGUAAAGCCCUUUUGUUGGGAAAGAAAAGCAGCAGGUUAAUACCCCGCUGUUCUGACGGUACCCAAAGAAUAAGCACCGGCUAACUUCGUG
rnacentral:rRNA from 1 species